AUUGAACGCUGGCGGCACGCCUAACACACGCAAGUCGAGCGGCAGCGCGAUAUGUAGCAAUACAUAUUGGCGGCGAGCGGCGGACGGGUGAGGAACACGUAGGAACCUACCCUCGAGUGGGGGAUAACCAAGGGAAACUUUGGCUAAUACCGCAUGAUUUCGAGAGAGCAAAGCUGCCGCAAGGUGGCGCUCGAGGAGGGGCCGGCGUCCGAUUAGCUAGUUGGUGAGGUAAGAGCUCACCAAGGCGAUGAUCGGUAACUGGUCUGAGAGGACGACCAGUCACACUGGGACUGAGACACGGCCCAGACUCCUACGGGAGGCAGCAGUGGGGAAUAUUGGACAAUGGGGGCAACCCUGAUCCAGCGAUGCCGCGUGAGUGAAGAAGGCCUUCGGGUCGUAAAGCUCUUUAGGUUGGGAAGAAGAGUGAUGGAGGAAAUGCUAUCACUUUGACGGUACCGACAGAAUAAGCACCGGCAAACUCUGUGCCAGCCGCCGCCGUAAUAC
rnacentral:rRNA from 1 species